CUCUGCAAAUGCUGAGCAACUGAACCUGUGUUUCCAUUACAGGAUGACUCAAACUAGAGGGAAGACAGGCAGAUCUGGGCUAGAUGUGGGACUGAGAGAAACCUAUGCCCUGGCAGUGUCCUGAAAUAUCAAGAUUGUGGCGGUUCACCCAAGCCAGUGAAGUUGAGAUGAUUGCUAAAAAUCCACACCUUCUGUUGAGAUCCUUGUGCUGUCUGUGAGAACUCAUGCAGGCUGUACACAGGGAUGCAUACGGUACCAUCCCAUGGGGAGCUGCAUGAGGUGCUCAGGAAGUGUGUUGGCUGGUUCAGGGGAGUCCUCGAGUGAGUCGUCCUGGAGCAGUCUUGGGAGGGCUGCUUGGUAGAAUUUAUGUGUUAGUUCACAAGAUCCAUGACUGGCUGUUGAAAACUGUGUGCCAGUUGUUCUGCACUUCCUCCCCUUCUCCUGGCUUCUAGCUGUCCACAGACAAUUCAGUCAUGCUGAUCCCCUUAGUGUUCUAGGUGGGGCAGAUAGAAGUGGGCCUCCUAGGCAGCAUUUUGCAAGGACGGGGAAGCCGAGCACUGACUUCAUUCUCCCUUUCCCCUAUGGAAGAAGUCAUGGGCCAAGGGGGCCUCUCUUGGCAUCAAGCUGUGCCACUUUGGGGGAGCGGUGAUGCAGAUAAAGUGAAACUGUUUUUAUCCUUUUAAAUGUGUUUAUGCACAGACUAUUUGCUCCACCAGGGUGCUGGGACCUCAGCUAGGCUCUGGGGCUCCCCCAAAGUUAUUCUCAUCUGUGGGCAGUUGCCAAACCCUGUAUUCUGUUGGGGGAUGAGAGCUGGAACCUCCUAUUUUCCCAUCUUGCUAACAUCACUCUCUCAAGUCUUCUUAAAGCUGUCUUUUCACAUUCUUCUCUGCAAAAUCCCAGUUAUCACAGCAACUAUUCCUCUGAUCUUCUGAUCUCUCAAACUCUACAAACUGCUUUCAUCU
rnacentral:lncRNA from 10 species